rnacentral:rRNA from 1 species
CGGCGUGCCUAAUACAUGCAAGUCGAACGUCUUUCUAUGGAAGCUUGCUCCACUGAGAAGAUAGUGGCGAACGGGUGAGUAACACGUGGGUAACCUGCCCAUAAGAGGGGGAUAACAUCCGGAAACGGGUGCUAAUACCGCAUAGUUUUUCUUGAUCGCAUGAUUGAGAAAGGAAAGACGGCCUUUGUGCUGUCGCUUAUGGAUGGACCCGCGGCGUAUUAGUUAGUUGGUGAGGUAACGGCUCACCAAGACGAUGAUACGUAGCCGACCUGAGAGGGUGAUCGGCCACAUUGGGACUGAGACACGGCCCAAACUCCUACGGGAGGCAGCAGUAGGGAAUCUUCCGCAAUGGACGAAAGUCUGACGGAGCAACGCCGCGUGAGUGAAGAAAGGUUUUCGGAUCGUAAAACUCUGUUGUCAGAGAAGAACAAGUUGGAGAGUAACUGCUCCAGCCUUGACGGUAUCUGACCAGAAAGCCACGGCUAACUACGUGCCAGCCGCCGC